GAAUUCGCCCUUAGAGUUUGAUCCUGGCUCAGGACGAACGCUGGCGGCGCGCCUAACACAUGCAAGUCGAACGGAGCUUAGAGAGCUUGCUUUUUAAGCUUAAUGGCGAACGGGUGAGUAACGCGUGAGUAACCUGCCCUAGAGUGGGGGACAACAGUUGGAAACGACUGCUAAUACCGCAUAAGCCCACGGUGCCGCAUGACACUGAGGGAAAAGGAUUUAUUCGCUUUAGGAUGGACUCGCGUCCAAUUAGCUAGUUGGUGAGGUAACGGCCCACCAAGGCGACGAUUGGUAGCCGGACUGAGAGGUUGAACGGCCACAUUGGGACUGAGACACGGCCCAGACUCCUACGGGAGGCAGCAGUGGGGGAUAUUGCACAAUGGGGGAAACCCUGAUGCAGCGACGCCGCGUGGAGGAAGAAGGUUUUCGGAUUGUAAACUCCUGUCGUUAGGGACGAUAAUGACGGUACCUAACAAGAAAGCACCGGCUAACUACGUGCCAGCAGCCGCGGUAAAACGUAGGGUGCAAGCGUUGUCCGGAAUUACUGGGUGUAAAGGGAGCGCAGGCGGGAAGACAAGUUGGAAGUGAAAACCAUGGGCUCAACCCAUGAAUUGCUUUCAAAACUGUUUUUCUUGAGUAGUGCAGAGGUAGAUGGAAUUCCCGGUGUAGCGGUGGAAUGCGUAGAUAUCGGGAGGAACACCAGUGGCGAAGGCGGUCUACUGGGCACCAACUGACGCUGAGGCUCGAAAGCAUGGGUAGCAAACAGGAUUAGAUACCCUGGUAGUCCAUGCCGUAAACGAUGAUUACUAGGUGUUGGGGGAUUGACCCCCUCAGUGCCGCAGUUAACACAAUAAGUAAUCCACCUGGGGAGUACGACCGCAAGGUUGAAACUCAAAGGAAUUGACGGGGGCCCGCACAAGCAGUGGAGUAUGUGGUUUAAUUCGAAGCAACGCGAAGAACCUUACCAGGUCUUGACAUCCGAUGCAUAGCACAGAGAUGUGUGAAAUCCUUCGGGACAUCGAGACAGGUGGUGCAUGGUUGUCGUCAGCUCGUGUCGUGAGAUGUUGGGUUAAGUCCCGCAACGAGCGCAACCCUUAUUGCCAGUUACUACGUUAAGAGGACUCUGGCGAGACUGCCGUUGACAAAACGGAGGAAGGUGGGGAUGACGUCAAAUCAUCAUGCCCUUUAUGACCUGGGCUACACACGUACUACAAUGGCGUUAAACAAAGAGAAGCAAGACCGCGAGGUGGAGCAAAACUCAGAAACAACGUCCCAGUUCGGACUGCAGGCUGCAACUCGCCUGCACGAAGUCGGAAUUGCUAGUAAUCGCAGAUCAGCAUGCUGCGGUGAAUACGUUCCCGGGCCUUGCACUCACCGCCCGUCA
rnacentral:rRNA from 1 species